GUAUAUGUGUGUGUAUCUGUACGUAUAUGUGUGUGUGUAUCUCACACAUAUAUACAUACACAGAUACACACAUAUGUACAUACAGAUACACACACAUAUAUACAUACAUAUACACACAUA
rnacentral:miRNA from 1 species